UCCUCUGUGGCUCAGUUGGUAAGAGCAAAGCGCUAGCGAUGCUAAGGUUGUGGGUUUGAUCCCUGCUAGUGGCU
rnacentral:tRNA from 1 species